rnacentral:rRNA from 1 species
CACGUAGGGCGCAAGCGUUGUCCGGAAUUAUUGGGCGUAAAGAGCUCGUAGGCGGUCUGUUGCGUCCGCUGUGAAAACUCGGGGCUUAACCCCGAGCCUGCAGUGGAUACGGGCCGGCUGGAGGCAGGCAGGGGAGAAUGGAAUUCCCGGUGUAGCGGUGAAAUGCGCAGAUAUCGGGAGGAACACCGGUGGCGAAGGCGGUUCUCUGGGCCUGUUCUGACGCUGAGGAGCGAAAGCGUGGGGAGCGAACAGG